rnacentral:misc_RNA from 1 species
CAACUUAGCUACAGUCCCUGGCGCC